CAGUUCCUCUAUUCCCCAAAAAAAGAUGGUUGCCUACGAACCCGAAGUUCCAACUGUUAAGGCUUCGUUCUUCAACCCGGUUGAGUUGAGCUUUUGGCUAAAAAAUGACUUUUCUUUAAAAAGCAAUGGAGAACACCUUUCAUUUGAGAGUAAAAUAUCAGCUUCUUAGAAGGACUUUUGGGCAGAUGAGAAGUAGAUUUUUUUAGCUUUUCAGCCAAAAAGUCCAUUUGGAUUGGUUACUUUACCUUUUUAGCCACACGACGCUGGUUCCCUCUGCUGCUACACUGCUCUUUGCUCUUUGCUGGUUUCCUUUGCUGCUACGCUGGUUCCCUCUGCUGCUACACUGCUCUCUGCUCUUUGCUCUUUGCUGGUUCCCUCUGCUGCUACACUGCUCUCUGCCCUCUGCUUUGUUCUGCCCUCUGCUGGUGAGUUUAUCUUUUUCUUCUCUUCUUCUGUAUAUUGAUUGAUUUUCGUCUGGGAUUGAUUUUCCUGAGUUUAUCUUUGCCCUCUGCUGCUGGUUGGAUAUAUUUUUUUUGUUGGAUAUAUUUGGUUAAACUUAUGUUGCUGGAUCUUUAAGAAGAUACCAAGUAGGAUGGUGUUUUUUGUGCCAAACUUACCGGCCAUUUUUUGUGCUUCUUCCUCAGUCAAAUCCACCACGAACCCAUUAAAACUCUUUUUGUAGCUGUACAGCACUGUCUUCGACUCACUGCAUUCAUUCCAAUUGCAUGCUCAAUCUCAA
rnacentral:lncRNA from 1 species